GUGAAUCAUCAAAUUUUUGAACGCAAAUUGCACUCUCUGGUAUUCCGGAGAGUAUGCCUGUUUGAGGGUCAGUAUAAAUAAAAAUCGGGGUGGUUGUGGCAUUUCGUGGUGACGUAACGGAUUUGGGUCGUGUUGCCUUCGGUUAAGUGAUCUAGAAUUUGGAAUGAUUAUUUUUGAAUGUAGUUAAAUGUUUUUACGUAUGUUUGAGAUAUCGAAUACUAGGUGGGGUCAUCCUCAUGAUUAGCGCCUAUAAUUUCUUAUCAAAAGGAACUCAAAUCAGGUAAGAGUACUCG
rnacentral:misc_RNA from 1 species